AACGAAGUUUAAUCUAGCAAAUUAAACAAAAAGCCGUCUUAUGCAGAACUAAAUGUAGCUGGAAUACAGGAAGACCGUUCCAUAAGUUAGUUCAUAAGCCAUCUUA
rnacentral:sRNA from 12 species